rnacentral:rRNA from 1 species
UACGUAGGGUGCGAGCGUUAAUCGGAAUUACUGGGCGUAAAGCGUGCGCAGGCGGUUCGUUAAGUCAGCUGUGAAAGCCCCGGGCUUAACCUGGGAAUGGCGGUUGAAACUGGCGAACUUGAAUCUGGCAGAGGGGGGUGGAAUUCCACGUGUAGCAGUGAAAUGCGUAGAGAUCUGGAGGAACACCGAUGGCGAAGGCAGCCCCCUGGGCUAACACUGACGCUCAUGCACGAAAGCGUGGGGAGCAAACAGG